AUUGAACGCUGGCGGCACGCCUUACACAUGCAAGUCGAACGGUAACAGGUCUUCGGAUGCUGACGAGUGGCGAACGGGUGAGUAAUACAUCGGAACGUGCCCGAUCGUGGGGGAUAACGAAGCGAAAGCUUUGCUAAUACCGCAUACGAUCUACGGAUGAAAGCGGGGGAUCUUCGGACCUCGCGCGGACGGAGCGGCCGAUGGCAGAUUAGGUAGUUGGUGGGAUAAAAGCUUACCAAGCCGACGAUCUGUAGCUGGUCUGAGAGGAUGAUCAGCCACACUGGGACUGAGACACGGCCCAGACUCCUACGGGAGGCAGCAGUGGGGAAUUUUGGACAAUGGGCGCAAGCCUGAUCCAGCCAUGCCGCGUGCAGGAUGAAGGCCUUCGGGUUGUAAACUGCUUUUGUACGGAACGAAAAGGUGCCUUCUAAUAAAGGGCGCUCAUGACGGUACCGUAAGAAUAAGCACCGGCUAACUACGUG
rnacentral:rRNA from 1 species